UAAUCUGAAAUGUUUAAAAAAUUUCAGUGAUGGUUUUGAGGGUCUCUUUCUAUCUCAAUCUUGGAAGCAGAGGGGAUGGUUUUGAGGGAGAUCUCAGUGAUGUUGGAGAAACAGGAAGGCAUACGAAGUUUAAUCGGAAGAUUUGCGAAAUUCACAACUCUUCUGCCCAAUCUACUCCCCAUUACAAUAAUACGAAUUACCUUGACAGAACUACAAAGUCGAUCAAAACGCAAGUUUCGAAGAAAGCAGAUGGCGGAUGAAGAGAGCAGCAGCAGAGAACAGAUUAACGCAGAAAAGCAAAAGGAUUAGCCCUAAAUAAUAGAAUGACCGGAAUACCCUUCAACUUCACCGUUUUUACGGGUUUUUGAUUUCUUUUCAAUUGUGCAUAGUAUUAAUCUUUUAGAUACUUUUAUUUUCAAACAAAAUAUUCUAAAUAUUAUAUUCUUUGGAUACUUUUUAUUUCCUUCGGUGACCAAAUAAUCUUAAUAUUAUAUUUUAAAAUCAUAUAUUAUAUAUACAUAUAUCCAAAAAUAAAAGGGAAGAAAAAAAAGGGAGAAAAAGAAAAGAAAAAAACUUUUAAUAAGCAUUGCAGAGAAUCACACGUUUCUCUCUUCUACCGCUUGAAAAUUCCAAAGCAGCACCAUAUAAAUUGUCUUCUUCUCAUAAUAUCUAACUUCCCAUUCUAAAAAUUGAUUGAUUUUUUUCGAAAUUUGCCCUUUUAGAUCAAUAAUCAAUGGAAGUUUCUAUGAUCUCCGAUACGUUAACGGCGGUGGUAACCACUCAAGGCUUAGGUGUUUCAAAGUUUCUGCUGAAUCGCAAUCUCAAUUUCUCAUCAAACAACGUUUUCUCACUCUCCGAUUCCUCAUCGGAGCAGCAAUCACCUUCCACCGCCGGAGUUCGUCAAAUUUCCGCUGUGAUUUGUCCGAUCGAUGCCUUAGCGCCGCCUCCUGUAAAGUACAAUAAGGUCAAAGCCGCACCUCGAAGACUGGCUCGUAAGACAAGGCGGAUUAUACGGAAGUCGUUGAUCGGUGGAGCUGAUGAAGGUGAUGAAAACGGAUUUUUAUUUGAUGGAGGUAAUUAUGACGGGCCGUUUGGUGGUGGUAGUAGCUGGGGCGGAGGUGGUGGUGGUGGUAGAGGAUGGAAUUUCGAUGGAUUUGGAGGGGCAAAUUGGGAAGAAUCUUCGUCGAACUCGUUUUCUGAUCCGGCUUUUGAUUUUGUCUAUGAGUUGAUGUGUUGGGCUGCGUUGUCGAAUUGCUUGCAUUUUGCGUUUAAGAAAGUGGUGAGAAUUGUGGCUGGUGGAUUCAGUGAUACAGCUAGAGAGAAGGUUGUUCCAGUUAGACUUACAUCUGUCUACUGAAUCAACCAAACAACCUGUGGGAAUCCAAUCGAUGGAGAAGUAAUUUGGGACGCGCUGUUAGUUUGCACGAUGAAAAUGGCAAAGAGGUGGGAGGGAGCCGAGCAAGACCAAAGCAAGUUUUCUCAUUCUCUUUUCUUCUCAUGUUGAAUUAUGCACAUAACAUAAAUCUUUGUAAAUUGAUUCUUAAA